rnacentral:lncRNA from 1 species
AGGGGGUCAUCGGAGAUGGUUUUGAUUUUUGGGUUUUGGGCGCGAUAACUUUGUCGGGCUUUACCCAUGAUUUUUGGAUCACACAUCAUCCCUUUUGCUCUGAUAUGGUCACGACAGGACUUGAAAUUGAAUUCUGAGUGAAAUAAGGAAAUUUUUACCUUUUUCGGUGGUUGGCGGUGGCUUUGGUAUGACGGGUGCCAAUGGUCG